CUGCAGUGCCUUCUCAAAUAAGCACACCUUCUGUAUACACAUAGGGUGCCGAUGCAUUUACAUAAGCACUUGCACCCAAGCACUCUUAUAUCCAUAGCUGUAACAUAUAUGCAAAGUUCGCUAAUUCACAGUGAUGCAAAACAGAUGUAAAACUUCCACAAUGCUCAUGCUAYGUGUUUAAGUGAAGAUUACCGAAGCAAGGACCCAGAGCUGGACCUCCCAACCUUUGUGCUACAGAUAUAACGGUCAUCCCCGUAGGACCAAUCUGCUGUGAUAAAGCUUGGAGCUCUCUGAUGAAACCAGUGUGUUGCUCUCUACCUAGACUCAGAAAUAAGAAGAGAUAAAUGACACGCUUGUU